rnacentral:lncRNA from 1 species
UGCAACAGCGGGUGGAAUUUUUAGCACAAGCGAGGGAAGAGGUUGGAGCGACGAGAGGCGGGAGCGGAAAGGGCGCGGAGUCCGGGGAUGCAGCGCGCUCCACCGCCCAGCUCCAGGUGGCGCCUCUGACCACCCGCACCCCGCUGCGCCCAGGGAAGGGCCGAUGGCGCGCCGUCCUCCCUCCUCCCUUCGGGAAGCCUGCGACGUCCCAUCCCCUCCGACGCAGGCCCGGGAAAGGCUCAAAAGGUUCGAGGUCGCGUUCCUGCUAUCCCGCGGGCUUCUCUCACUCUUAGAUCCCGCACCAGAGGAAGCGGAUCUCCUUGAGUGGGCAAAGCAGGGGUGAGGGGCUGGGGGCAGUUCCACUGACAACGGGACGGGGGCGAGAGGGGUUUACCCAGUACAUACAGAAACAGCAGAAAAGAAAUCUAUUUUUAAUGGCUUUGGCUUUAUAGCACGAAGCAGGCACCCUCUCGUUAAAGGCACACAGUCCUCUCUUCUGCUCCACCUCCUGGGUCCUUAAAAUCGAGUCCUGAGUUCCAGAGGGGUCACUGCAAGGCAGCAGGGAAGGAAGAGGGUCACAGUUUCACUCUGUGAGUAUCAGACACCCAGGGCCAAGGCCCAGACUGGCCUCUGAAGCUACAGGUUAGAGUCUGGGUACAGGAAGCAGCCGAGAUGGUCCCUGAGAACAGACAGUCCCGGUCCCCCGGAGCAAGCUCCAUCCUCUGCAGAGCUGUGACGUCAGUGCCCCACAUCCUGGGGCAACGUGAAGUCCCUGAAGCUGUAGAAGGAGAUGUCACCAUGAUCCACCAGGGCAAAGAUCAGAGGGACAUCCCCACUCUGGUACUGCAGAGACGGCACUGCUUGGAAACUUACCGGGCACCUCCAUCAGGAAGGUGUGUUGUCUGCAGCACAGAGAUAUGCUGAAGGACCACGGCUACAAGGACACAGAAAACAAGCUGGAGCAGCGCUGCACCUCGGGAUCGGCGUUGACGUCUUCCUGGAACCGCGCGGCCUCCGCGUGGUGCUCCCGUUCCCGCCUGGAGAGCUUCUCCUUGCGCUGGUUCAGCUUCUGGCACCAGGACUCAGCGUCUGUCUCCCGCCCAGCCACGUUGGCCGGGAGCAGCUCUGGGGCUGGGGCGCGCAGGAGGGUGUGGCGGCUGUCUGAAGCCAUGUUGGGGAAGGAGAUCUGCUCGAAGUUCCAGCGCCGCUUACCGGCCCCCGUGACUCCGUUCUCGGCUCUGCCGCUCUCCCAGCUGCACCCCACCCCCUCCCUGGCCGGGCCAGGGCUGGGGCCCAGGGACCCCAGAAGCUGAAAGGGGCCCCCUGGGCCCUUCAUGGGGCUUGACUCCUGGGGUUUCUCCUCUGGGCAUUGGCUGGGCUGGCUGCAGGGAGGUGGGCUGGAGGCUGCCAGACUCUUGGGUUGCAGGGAGUUGUCCAGGGCCUUGGCCUUCUUAUUAAUGGACCUGAGGGACGUGGGGGAAAAGCAGCACAUCUGCCCCUGGUUGCUAAGGUGCACACGUCCCAUGGGAGCUGAAGGCAGGUCCCCUAGUGUCUCCCUGAGCCUGCAUGGGAGCUGCCCAAGCCUAGUUCUUAGAAAACCUGUGCAUUUUCCAAGGUCCCAGACACCAGCACUCCCUGGGGGGCGACCGUGAUGUGGGAGUUACCGAGGGCUGGAGCUGCUCCUCUUUCUCUUGCCAUCUCCAUCCUCCAAGUGCUGCACGCUGGCAUCCAGGUUAAGCUGCCUCUCAUACGGGGACAGGACAGAGCUGUGGGGUGAGAACAGCGGGUGGGCCACUGACCCACCUCCUCAGCCUGGGGAUCUGGUGGGAUGUGUAAGGAAACGGGCCAAGGGGACAGUCAGUGGGCCAGGAUCGGAGCCACACCCAAGUGCUAAGGCCCUAAGCAGACCCCCAUGAGGGGUACAGGCCCAGCCAGGGGGCCCAGCCAUGUGCCUCUGCCUAGGCAAUGGCCCAGAGGAGCUAGCAAACUUGGUAAAUAUAGAAAAAUAAAAACCUUG